rnacentral:rRNA from 1 species
AGUGAACGCUGGCGGUAUGCCUAACACAUGCAAGUCGAACGACAACACAAUAAGAUCUUUCUCUUACCGGUAGCGAGUGGCGGACGGGUGAGACAUACAUCACAUUCUUCUUUUUCUUGGGUGAUAUCGUGGGAACACUGACGCUAAUGGCUCAUACAACCUACGGCUUGAAUCAGUAGUUCUUCGCACCUUUCCCGUUUCAUUUAGCCGAUGUCGGAUUAGCUAGUUUGCUGGGUAAGGGCCCACCAAGGCGACGAUACGUAGCUGGUCUGAGAGGAUGAUCAGCCACACUGGAACUGAGACACGGUCCAGACUCCUACGGGAGGCAGCAGUAGGGAAUCUUGCACAAUGGGCGAAAGCCUGACGGAGCAACACCGCGUGAGUGAAGAAGGCCUUCGGGUUGUAAAGCUCUUUUGUUGGGAAAGAAAAGAAGCAGGUGAAACCACCGAUGUUCUGACGGUACCCAAAGAAUAAGCACCGGCUAACUUCGUG